rnacentral:rRNA from 1 species
CAGUCGCCGCGGUAAUACGUAGGUGGCAAGCGUUGCCCGGAAUUAUUGGGCGUAAAGGGUUCGCAGGCGGUUUCUUAAGUCUGAUGUGAAAGCCCCCGGCUCAACCGGGGAGGGUCAUUGGAAACUGGGAAACUUGAGUGCAGAAGAGGAGAGUGGAAUUCCACGUGUAGCGGUGAAAUGCGUAGAGAUGUGGAGGAACACCAGUGGCGAAGGCGACUCUCUGGUCUGUAACUGACGCUGAGGAGCGAAAGCGUGGGGAGCGAACAGGAUUAGAUACCCCAGUAGUCCCUGUCUCUUAUAC